rnacentral:rRNA from 1 species
UACGUAGGGUCCGAGCGUUGUCCGGAAUUAUUGGGCGUAAAGGGCUCGUAGGCGGUUCGUCGCGUCGGGAGUGAAAACUCGGAGCUCAACUCCGAGCCUGCUUCCGAUACGGGCAGACUAGAGGUAGGCAGGGGAGACUGGAAUUCCUGGUGUAGCGGUGAAAUGCGUAGAUAUCGGGAGGAACACCUGAGGCGAAGGCGGGCUACUGGGCCGAUACUGACGCUGAUGCGCGAAAGCCAGGGGAGCGAACGGG